rnacentral:rRNA from 1 species
UAAUACGUAGGGGGCAAGCGUUGUCCGGAAUCAUUGGGCGUAAAGCGCGUGUAGGCGGUCCGGUAAGUCGGCUGUGAAAGUCCAGGGCUCAACCCUGGGAUGCCGGUCGAUACUGCCGGACUAGAGUUCGGAAGAGGCGAGUGGAAUUCCCGGUGUAGCGGUGAAAUGCGCAGAUAUCGGGAGGAACACCAAUGGCGAAGGCAGCUCGCUGGGACGUUACUGACGCUGAGACGCGAAAGCGUGGGGAGCAAACAGGAUUAGAUACCCUGGUAGUCCACGCCGUAAACGAUGGGUACUAGGUGCCUGGGGGAGCGACCCUCUGGGUGCCGGCGCUAACGCAGGAAGUACCCCGCCUGGGGAGUACGACCGCAAGGUUG